UCCGCUGAGAACCUGGGGGCGCGGUUUUGGAAAUGAGGUCCGAAGGCUGAAUGCGGCUCGAGCGAAGCCCAUCUAUCUUCCAGGCCUGUUCACAAUGGAUUAGCUUGUCACUUUUUUUCUUUUAUUCUUUUGCUCCCCCCCCCCCCGUGUAUUUUCUGCGACGUGAGAGACCUGUCCUCAGGGUUAUAUCUGCUUUUGGUAAACAAGAAGCAGAAAGGAAAUUUGAAGCUCUGUUAAAUCACUUAUCGCAUCCUCCAUCAUUCACAACUGUCAGAGUAAAUACACAUCUAGCCUCAGUGCAACAGGUGAAAGAUCUGUUGUUUCAUGAACUUCAGAAGCAGUUUAAUGGAUUAAGUGUUCCUAUUCUUCAACAUCCAGACCUUCAGGAUGUCUUGCUCAUUCCUGUUAUUGGACCCAGGAAGAAUAUAAAAAGGCAACGUUGUGAAGCAAUUGUUGGAGCACAGUGUGGCAAUGCAGUACUAAGAGGAGCCCAUGUCUAUGUUCCCGGAAUUGUGUCAACUUCAAAAUUUAUGAAAGCUGGAGAUGUUACUUCCGUAUACUCUGAUAUUAAAGGCAAAUGUAAGAAAGGAGCCAAAGAAUUUGAUGGAACAAAAGUAUUUCUUGGAAAUGGGAUUUCUGAACUAAGCCGCAAAGAAAUCUUCAGUGGGGUACCUGAACUGAAAGGUAGAGGCAUACGAAUGACAGAACCCGUAUAUCUCAGCCCCUCAUUUGACAACGUACUGCCCCGCUACUUAUUUUUACAGAAUUUGCCAUCUGCUGUAGUAACUCAUGUUCUGGAUCCUCAACCUGGAGAAAAGAUUCUAGAUUUGUGUGCAGCACCUGGAGGCAAAACAACACACAUUGCAGCAUUAAUGCGGGAUCAGGGAGAAGUAAUAGCACUGGAUAAAAUAUCCAACAAAGUGGAAAAAAUAAAACAGAAUGCUUUAUUGUUAGGGCUGAAUUCCAUCAAGGCAUUUUGCUUCGAUGGAACAAAGGCUCUUCAAUUCGAUAUGGUUGAAAAAGCUGAAGGAAACCCUCCAUUCUUACCAGAAUCCUUUGACCGAAUUCUUCUUGAUGCACCAUGCAGUGGAAUGGGACAGAGACCAAACAUGGCUUGUUCUUGGACUUUGAAAGAAGUGACAUCAUAUCAACCAUUACAGAGAAAACUCUUCACUGUGGUAUGUGAUGUUCCUUUGAUAUGAAAGAAAGUUGACCUUCAUAGUUUGAUGUUUCAGAGAGGGAGAGCAGAGUUCAUAGCAGCAUUUUUCACAAUAUCCAGAAUGUGGAAACAACCAUCAAGAGGCCAACAAGUGAAUGGAUAAGCAAAAUGUGGUGUACACAUAGAAUAGAAUAUUAUUCAGUCUGACACAGGAAUGAAAUUCUAGUACAACAUGAACGAACUUUGGAAAGAUUCUGCUAAGUGAUAAAAGCAGACCCAGAGUGACAAAUAGUGUCUUUCUGUUUAUAUGAGGUAACUAGAACAGGAACGUUUGUAGAGACAAAGUAGAACGAGGUUAACAGGGCUGGAGGGACGGGAGAAUGGGGAAUUAGUGUUUAUUGGGUACAGAGUUGAGUUUGGGAAGAUGAGAAGUUCUAGAGAUGGAUAGUAGUGACGGUUGCAUGUGAAAAGUACCUAAUGCCACUGAACUGUACACUUACAUUGGUGAAAGUGACAAAUUUUACGUUUAUUUUAGCACACAAAGAACAGAGAAAACCUAGUUUUAAAUACAAGCAGUUUUCAUUUAUGUUGCUCAUUCUUUGAUUUAUUUUUUUUUUAAUUUUUAUUUAUUUAUGAUAGUCACAGAGAGAGAGAGAGGCAGAGACACAGGCAGAGGGAGAAGCAGGCUCCAUGCACCGGGAGCCCAACGUGGGAUUCGAUCCCGGGUCUCCAGGAUCGCGCCCUGGGCCAAAGGCAGGCGCCAAACUGCUGCGCCACCCAGGGAUCCCUCACUCUUUGAUUUAAAGGCAGUAGCAGAAUUUGCACUGAGACAUUUAAUGAAUUUUCAACAUUCUGAUAUAUCUUAAAGAAUCACUGAGCUCAAAACAUCAUAGUUAAGAACUGAUGUGUAAGGAAUGGGAUAUAAAAUAAAUUACUCUUUUUUAAUAGGGUUCCUGGAUCAUCUAAGCAUAUGAGAAGCAGGAAGUCCAGUGGAGGGAAACACAUUGAUAAAAAAUGAGAAGGGACUAUUCAGUGUAGGAUUUAGAAGAACUGGAAAAACUUUGCCAAUUUAACUGGUCUCUAGCACAUUUCAGGAGGUGUCCAAAUAGAACAUUCGAGGCUUAGAAAAAUGAUUCAUCAGAUUUCACAGAAUGUAGAGAGCAUUUGACCAAAGAUGAUUUCAUCAUUUCCUCUCAGCCCUGUAAUUGCAGUUCAACUGCUGAAGCCGGGGGGCGUGCUGGUUUAUAGCACAUGCACGAU